rnacentral:rRNA from 1 species
GGGUAUAAUACCCGAUAGAUCUCGGAAGCUGGAAUGCAUCGAGAUCGAAAGCUCCGGUGCCCAAGGAUGGGUCUGCGGCCUAUCAGGUAGUAGUGGGUGUAGCGUACCUACUAGCCUACGACGGGUACGGGUUGUGAGAGCAAGAGCCCGGAGAUGGAUUCUGAGACACGAAUCCAGGCCCUACGGGGUGCAGCAGGCGCGAAAACUUUACAAUGCCGGCAACGGCGAUAAGGGGACCUCGAGUGCCAGGUUACAAAUCUGGCUGUCGUAAUGCCUAAAAAGCAUUUCAUAGCAAGGGCCGGGCAAGACCGGUGCCAGCCGCCGCGGUAACACCGGCGGCUCGAGUGGUAACCGUUAUUAUUGGGUCUAAAGGGUCUGUAGCCGGCCGGAUAAGUCUCUUGAGAAAUCUGGCAGCUUAACUGUCAGGCUAUCAGGGGAUACUGUCUGGCUCGAGGCCGGGAGAGGUGAGAGGUACUUCAGGGGUAGGGGUGAAAUCUUGUAAUCCUUGAAGGACCACCAGUGGCGAAGGCGUCUCACCAGAACGGACCUGACGGCAAGGGACGAAAGCUAGGGGCACGAACCGGAUUAGAUACCCGGGUAGUCCUAGCCGUAAACGAUACUCGCUAGGUGUCGGCCACGGUGCGACCGUGGUCGGUGCCGUAGGGAAGCCGUGAAGCGAGCCACCUGGGAAGUACGGCCGCAAGGCUGAAACUUAAAGGAAUUGG